AGUGAACGCUGGCGGUAGGCCUAACACAUGCAAGUCGAACGGCAGCACAGUAAGAGCUUGCUCUUACGGGUGGCGAGUGGCGGACGGGUGAGGAAUACAUCGGAAUCUACUUUUUCGUGGGGGAUAACGUAGGGAAACUUACGCUAAUACCUCAUACGACCUACGGGUGAAAGCAGGGGAUCCUCGGACCUUGCGCGAUUUAAUUAGCCGAUGUCGGAUUAGCUAGUUGGCGGGGUAAAGGCCCACCAAGGCGACGAUCCGUAGCUGGUCUGAGAGGAUGAUCAGCCAAACUGGAACUGAGACACGGUCCAGACUCCUACGGGAGGCAGCAGUGGGGAAUAUUGGACAAUGGGCGCAAGCAUGAUCCAGCCAUACCGCGUGGGUGAAGAAGGCCUUCGGGUUGUAAAGCCCUUUUGUUGGGAAAGAAAAGCAGCAGGUUAAUACCCCGCUGUUCUGACGGUACCAAAAGAAUAAGCACCGGCUAACUUCGUG
rnacentral:rRNA from 1 species